AAAUUGUCGCGAGGAAUGCAGACAGACAAAAUGACAAAUGUUAAUUUUAUAAUACAAGAUUAUACACUUUCUCAUUUUUAAUACUGCUUUACCAGUAUGUGCCGCAGACUGUGUCACACUAAAGAGUUUAAAAGUUAUGUUUUUGAAGAGGGGAUGUGGAAACUUUGACGUAAGUUUGUGCGAUAUAUAUUCGAUAAUUUGCGUAAAAACUGCUAUAGAGUUGACACAAGAGUGAAGCACAUUUGGCAAAAAAGCUGGUGGCUCGCAUGUUUUGAAGUAAAUAUAAAAGUGAUCGGUAAAAGCACAUUUUAAUAGACCAUUUGCCCCUUCAAAUAAAACUCUGUAAGGUAGGAAGCUAGAUUGUUUUGUAUUUUUGACUGCUUGAUUUUUACUAACAGGUAGUUGAAAAUCACAAUUUUUUAGCUGACAUGUUGCCAACAUGGCAACAUGUCUCAAGAGGCAUGGCUUCAUUUUGAUAUAAAUAUCGACUAUAAAGUACUGGGCCGUUGACUUUUUCUAGGACACAUAUUUUUGGUUGUGGGCCUGUGGCCAUAUAUGUUUAUAAAACACUUGUAAAAAUUAGCUUUUGGCUGGUGUGUGUCCAUGUAUAUGGUUUUGUUAUAUACUAGUAUCCUGGCAAUCCUGCCAUCAAAAUAAAGUAAAGAUCUCUUAAAAACAAAGCCUUUUUGUAUGCAGACUCUUCUAGACAUUGAAAUUAUGGGCAGAUCUGUUAUGUGAACAGCUCCAUCAAUAAAAGUUUCUUGGUGAAGUAAAAUAGAAUAAAAGGCUGAUAAAUCAUUCAUUAUGAAUGUGACGGAUACCGUUUGGCCGAAUACCAGAUCAUACCAGGUACUGGUCUACUGGCCGGGUACUACUUAGGAGCAAGGGUCACUUUACUAACAAGCCUCUCAUGGUCCAGUGAGACCCAAUUACAUCACAGAUCAUGACUGUAAAAUGUAGGGAGCCAUGGAGUAUUAUUAAUGCCAUAGCAUAUAAGAGGCUCCAAAUUCAAAACUUAGUUGAAUUAAAAAUUUAUGAGUUAUAUGGUAACUAUAAGUAUCAUGUGAAGGACUGAAGGUAGUAGAUUUCCUAUAUACACCUAGAUUCAGUUACUGGCUGACAACUUAAAAAAUGUUGAGCUGGUUAUCUAAGCCUAGAGUUUAUGUCUGAUAUGUCUGUGUCGGCAUAGGCUAAGCUCCAUUUUUAAAGAUUGGCUACCUCGACAAAAUACAAUCUUCAGCUAUAGGGCAGGCUUUAAUAAACAUCCACCCAAUCUCGUUCCCCGAGCAUGCCCGUUUGCAGGUUAAGGGUGGGCAUAGCUCUGGAGAAAUCGAAUUGAUUCACGUUGAAUUUCCAAUGUGAGUUCUACGCAUGCUCGGCAAUGUUGCAAAAUAUAGAUAAAGUAUUUAGAAUUUUGCGUCGAAAAUUUGAUACAUUUUACACUGAAAUCGAAUUGAAAACAACUUAAAAAUUCUGGGGGAAAUAUGUACGAAAGCUUCGGCAGGAUAGGGAUACAGCUACCUGAAAAAUACAAGGAGAACUUCGACGUUUCGAGCGAAGAUGCUUCGAUCUGUACUGUUAGUGUUUGUAUACAUCGUACUUGACCUUUGCUGAUAAAUAUAUUAAUCUCCUCAAUAAUAAGUAUUAUAUAUUUUGAUGCUUCAAAAUUUACAUUUAACUCUUCUGUCAGAAUUUAUGGUAUACGUAGUGUUAGGUAUGACAGUAUAUAAAAGGUCAAGUACGAUGUAUACAAACACUAACAGCACAAGUUGAAGCGCCUUCGCUCGAAACGUCGAAGAUCUCCUUGUAUUUUUCAGGUAGUUGUAUCUCUAUCAAUCCGAAGCUUUCGUACAUAUUUCCUCCAGAAUUUCUAGUUGUUUUCAAUCGAUUUCGGUGUAAAAAGUAUCAAAUUUUCGACGAGAAAUUCCAAAUACUUUGUUUAUAUAGAUCUGAUGUUGGAAAUCCAACGUACUAUCUGCCGUUAGCCAAUCACAGGCCUGAAUCAAUUUGAUUUCUCCAGAGCUAUGCCCACCCUUAACCUGCGAACGGGCAUGCUCGGGGAACGAGAUUGAUAUCCACCCAUCUAAUACCCAUACAAUUGGGCAUGUGAUGUUGGGGAGAAAUAAACACUGCAGUGUUCUGGACUCCCUAUUCAGCAGACACUGUUGAAGGAAGUGUAUUAAGUUGACAAGAGUGUUAAUAUGAUUAUCUUACAGUACCAAACACUCCUGGAUGAUUUUGUACAUCUUGGGCCUUGCAGUAUUUUGCCCCUCUGCCCAGACUUGGCUUCAUGUGAUUUCAAUGUCUGAAGGAGUCUGCAAACAAACGACUUUGCAUUUAACAGAUAUUUACUAAUUUUACUUUUUUGUUGGCAGGAUAAUAGUAGUUUUGUUUGUGGAAACACCACGUAAAUUUAUUACUGCAAAGCUUUCGAUCCGUAAGCCCAGAUCUUAAUCAGUGGUAAUAAUAUUAUUCAUAAUAUUAUUCAUAUUAUUAGCACUGAUGAAGAUCCGGGCUUACGGAUCAAAAACUUUGCAGUAAUAAAUUUACGUGGUGUUUCCACAAACAAAACUAUUAUAUUUUUCGCCAUGCAAACAUACAAAGAACUUAUAAUAUAUAUUUGUUGACCUGCACGGAAGCACAUAAACAAAGAUUCUGACUUAAAGGACAUUGGCAAGAAAAUAUUAGUUCCAUUUAUUUGAAAGAACUCUUUUGAAAGACGGAAAUUUUAAUUAAAAUAUAUUACCACAAUUUGUUUAUAUCUUCCUUAGUUGUCAAAAUAUUUCGACAGAAAAAAGUGAGAUGUUCGCCAUCUUCCAUUAUUGAGCAUAUUAUGCAUGUUACGUCAAGAGAGGGGUCAUGGUAAAUUUUCAUGUUGAGAGUAAGCAAUCAAUAUGAGUCCAAUAGUUUGCUUCUGGUUACUGUCUGAAAAUUGGAAAUGGUUGAAAAUUUUUCAAACAAUUUUGGAUUGUAACAACUCCUGAAGUCACCAAAACAACAGUUAAUAAGGUCAAGAAUUAGUCCAAGAUGACAGACAGCUCAUUAAUUUCUAAAUAUUUCGAGAAUGAAGCAAGAUAUGAUGUAUCGUUAAUAGAAAUUAAUAUAUAAUUUUAAGAAUUCUAUUGAAUGAGACAAACAACUUUGUUAUUGCCAAUGUCCUUUAACUCAUGCCUGUCAGAUGUUGGGAUCAUAGGUAGCGGUGCUACCUGCAAGUGCCUUAGGCUAACUGCAAUUAGCAUUAAGGUCAGAAGGUCUUAUGCAUGCUUACAGUCGUGCCAAUGGAAGCAUUCCGAGAAAUGUUGACCACUUCAUUUCAUAAAUUUGAGGAGUUGAUCUGAACAAUUCCUCAACAAUUUGAUAAGUUCCUUAAAAAGUUGCUAACUUCCUGUUUCAUUGACCAAUCAGAUUGCUCAAAAAUAAAAUAUAAAAUUUGAUUGCUCAAUGAAACAGGAAGUUAGGAAGUUUUUAAGGAACUUAUAAAAUUGUUGAGGAAUUGUUCAGAGGUGUCCCUUCAAGUUAGGAGAUGAAGUGGUCAACAUUUUUCGGAACGGUUCUAUUGGCACGACUGUAAGCAUGCAUAAGACCUUCUGACCAAGGAUUACAGUUAGCUUCAGGCACUUGCAGGUGGUGCCGCUACCUAGGAUCCCAACAUCUGACAAUAGACUGACAGGCAUGGGUAGUUGAUAGUUGACCAGCAUCUAAGGACGAAAGCGUACUUAUAUUCAUUUAUGCAAUGUUAUUUAGUCAAAAUCUAAGAUCUGAUUGGUUAUGUUAGUGAAUAUAUGAUAAUAGUUGAACAGGACGAAAGUGGACUUAUAGCCUCAUUAAUAUCAUUUUGGAGGCAUAAACAAAAUCUAAUGAUUCCUUUAAUGGUUGCCGCUUUUGGAUUUGCAUGCUUUGGCAAAAAAACGUGGUUAUUAUUGGUUGUGACUGAAUGGGACUAAAUCCUGAAUAAAUUGAAUGUCGAUACAUGAAUGUCUUUUCUCCAUCAUGUUAAUUAAAGGAGAUCUUUCAAACUUAUAGCUAUAUCGAUCGUAGUGAAUAGUUAUACUCAUAUACGCAAAUAUUUCUCGUGGUAACAUUCGAAAAGAAGAUGGGUUCCCCACGCUCUUCUUAGACACCAAAAGGAAGUGUGACGAAUAAGAAUGAAUGACGUCUUCGUGCAUACAGCUUAUUAGUUCAUGUUUUGCAGACCUCGAUCAUAUCGUAACUCCGUAACAUAUCGUAAAUCCGUAAUAUUCUUUACAUGAAUAGGGCAAUGUACAAUGAAGUGGAAUUUUCACUGAUAUAUCUGAAUCAUUUGCAUUUAAUAAUUGCUUUACUGGCUAUAAUACUGUCAUUAGAUAGGAGUUUUUGCACUUAGACAGCAGUUGUGUUUUGGUCAUUUUCUGUUCGGUUGCAAAUGCACGCAAUUUACCUUGAUGUAGUCGCUCAUUAGACUAUGACAGGCUACCAAUGAGGGUAUAACUCUUCAAAAGAUGCAUGUAAAGUUGUGUUUCCCCCAUGUAUAACACUUGGUGAAACCCACCUAUAAUGCCCCCCUCCCCCCCAUAAUAAGAGAUUGUAAAUUUGGCGACAUAAGGUUAUAAACAGACACGACCUACCGACGGCAAACACAAUCCGGUACUGUUUCAAGUAAUCAUAUAUUUGCUAUGUAUCGUUAUAUACUCCGGCAAGAUACUCGCCUUCUGUGCGCCUAUAUAUAACACCGGACCAGGAAUGGAAUUUUCAGAGGCAAGCAAUAAAUUGCUUUUCGUCAAUAUCAUGAUAACAAAUAAUCUGCAUACGUAAGUUGCUUCACAGGUCGCUUUAGGUUGCGUUCGCAUAUAUUCACCAACAUAACCAAUUAGAUAUUGGAUUUUGUCGAAAGAACGUUGCAUAAAUGAAUGUAAGUCCGCUUUCGUCAUUAGAUGCAUGUCAACUAAUAGUUAACCUGCACAGUAGCACGAGAAGGAACGAAUAUGCAUGUAUGUAAAUGUUUUUGGUCAAAAGCUGAAAUGUGAUUGUUUUGCAUAAUUAAUCUCGUACGCUUUGGACGAGUAAAGAGGAGAGCAAACGAAUAUGUAGUUAAUUAAUAAACAAGAGUUAAUUUGCAUGAUCAUGAGUCGUGACAAUUUAUUUAGAAAUUGAAAAGCACAAAGGGAAACAAACAUAUAAGGUUAGGUCAAGACAUACCAUGUAGUUAUGUAUGGCGUCAGAUAUCCGGCAGUAUUCAUGUUGAUCUUAAUUCAACAUGUAUCCGUCAUUGAAGUGAAUUUCGGCAUUGAACAUAUCAAAUUCAGCAUGCCACUUUAAUCCAACGUUGCUUCAAUUUCAACAUGUUGAUGUUACAUGUAAUUUGAAUUUUGAAUUUAGAACAUGUCAAAUUGAAGUGGAAUACAACAUUGAAGUAUAGAUAAUGGCCGUUUUUUAAUAUACUAGAGACGUAUUAUGCGUAUGGACGCAUAAUCCGUCUUCUAUAUUAUUCGACUAGUAUAAAGACGGGACGACGAAUAAUCCGACGAACUAUCAGCAUUUAUUGUUCGUUUGGUUAUGCGUCAUCAGUAUAAAGACGGGCACAAGACGCAUUAUGCGUCUAGACGAACUAUCAUCGGUUGUGCGUCUCUUAAGACGAAGAAUCGAACAUAGUUCGUCUAGACGCAUAAUGCGUAUUGUGCCCGUCUUUAUGCUGUGAGGACGCAUAACCAGACGAACAACAAAUGCUUGCCCAAGUUCGUACAGACGCAUAAUGCGUCUCCAGUAUAGAAGCGGCCAUUGAAGUAAUUUUCAAUGUUGAAGUUUCAAAACAGGUUGAAAACGCAUCACUACAUGAAUUUGAUAAAGUGAGUUUUGGCGGUUAUAUAGCACAUCGUUAAAUAUCCGCCAAUAUUAAUUAACGCUUCGUUAAACUUCCUCCAUGGCACUCGCCUGGGACUUGAUUCCUAUAUGGCGGCUACGAACGAGCGGAAUGAUGAAAAUCAUGAAAUAAAGUUGGUGCACUGAACAUUAUUGAGGAUGUAAUAUCACGAUUAGUCAGACUUGGUGAUUUGACGGUUUAAAGAGGUAUCUUGUAAAUAUUAGAAUCGACCACAUCAUGCACUUUGGAAUUGCUGGACAUGGUUUGCCAAAAUUUAAACCAAUUUGAGCAGCGGCAACGCUAUUCCGCCAUGAAUACUGUAACUCUGCAUUUCCAGCACAAGUUUAUGCCGCAGAAAACCUUCAUAUGAUGUACACGAGGGGCAAUAGAAUUUUGCCAAACGAGGGGCAACUGAAAUUUGGCACGAGUAUGUCAUGUACGAAAGUUAUGCCCAUCCUUGCAACACUGUAUAUAUACUGCAUAUAGUUUUAUACAGAACUACAGUAUAGAAUGAGAACGGGAAUGGCUAGGUAUUCACGUCUUUCAUCUGCACUUCAUUUUUUACCGUUUGUAGAAAAAGGUUAGCUUAGUAUUGCAAUAUGCUGAGCAGACAAUAAAAAGGCAGUGGCAAUAAGUCCAGGAACUUUGCAUUUUGGAUUAAUUAAUCAAAAUUUGAAUUUUAUUGAAAAAUAAAAUUUGCAGACCUGUUUUCGUUUUUAAGGUAGGCAAAUGACUUUUGACCUGAUUGUUCGCCAGUUCAGAGGUAUGUGUCUAUAAUUUUUUCAAUAACACCAAUUCCCCACACAAGGAAGUUGUGAUUUCAAUAAGAAUUGAUAUACAUGUAUGCAUUACAUUCACAUGAGAUUCCCUAGGUUUGUCGAAUUGGGCUUAACAUAUAUAGUGGUGCAUAACCACUGUACCGGCCGUAUAGGAUGGGCAUAACUUUCGUACCUGACAAACUGGUGCCAAAUGAUCUCAUUUGCAGCUCCAAAGUUAUUUUGCGUACACCCAUCAUAUUGCUUACUUCGCUAACUUUGCCGAAAUAUUGUUCCAAUAAAAAAUUAUAUUUCCCCUCGUGUAUAUCAUAUACGAUCGUUUUCCACUGCAUACUGUGUAAGCUUGUGCUGGAAAUGCAGAGUUAUUCAUGCGGAAUAGCGAUGCCGCAUGAUGAAAUUGUAAAAUUUUGGCAAACUGUCCAGCAAUUCCAAAGUGCAUGAUGUCGUCGACUCUAAUAUUUAGAAGAUAUCUCUUUAAAACGUCGAAUCGUAUUGCCGUUCCCCUCUACAUAAUCUGGGUCACAAAGGCUGCCUAAUCGCGAUAUUAUAUACCAACUAUUUCAUCAUUCCGCUCGUUCGUAACCGCCAUAUAGGAAUCAAGCCCCGGGCGAGUGCAUGCAAGGGGAAAGUUUAACGAAGCGUUACAGGUAAACUACGUGAAGCGUUCCUCUUUUGAGUUCCUAACUUGAUUGCAAUUUUCCUCAUUACCUUAGCAAAUUUGAAAAAUUAUCUUGCAAAUCCCUUGAGGGAAUUUGCAAUGUUCUUACUAUAAGAGCCAAAUAAUUUUUCCUCAGUUCCUGUUACAAGUUCCUAAACUUCCUGUUCUGUUCUGCGCGUUGUAAUUGGCUAACAAAAAUAAUACGCCAAUGAUAACGCUCAGAACAGAACAGAACAGGAAGUCAGGAAAUGGAAGCAGGAAGUUGGGAAAAUUUGAAAGGAACUUUCUUUGCGUUGGAAUAUUGCAAGGCCGACAGGAAAAUUGCAAAUUCCCUCAAGGAUUUGCAAAGAGUUUUUCAAAUUUGCAAAGUUGAUUAUGAAAAUUCCAAAUGAGUUAGGAACUCAAAAGAGGAACGCUUCACGUAGUUUACAUGUCAUUAAUAAUGGCGGAAAUUUAACGCGAUGCAAUAUAACCGCCAAUAUUCACUUAUCAAAUAAAUGUAGUGAUGCGUUUUCAACCUGUUUUGAAACUUCAACAUUGAAAAUUACUUCAAUAUCUAUACUUAAAUGUUGUAUUUCACUUAAAAUUGACAUGUUCAAUAUUCAAAUUACAUGUACUGCGAAUUCAGGUAGACCGUUUAAUGCGAAUAGUUGUCGCGUUAGUUUUAACAGUUGUACGAUGACGUUUCUAGGCAGAUUUUCGACGUUUCUAAGGCGUGGCUUCAACGUUUAUUUUUAAAAUUGAACGUUGUAAUUACAAGGUAAUUGCUAAAUAGUAUACUUCAAGAUAAGGUUUCCGUUUUUAUAACGUAGAAAAAAUCAUCCUAACGCAAAACUAAACUCUAACCUAACCCUAACUUAUUUAAAAAAUUGAUAUAAAAACGGAAACCUUAUUUUGAAGUAUACUAUCUGGCAAUUACCUUGUAAUUACAACGUUCAAAUUUUAAAAAUAAACGUUGAAGCCACGCCUUAGAAACGUCGAAAAUCUGCCUAGAAACGUCAUCGUACAACUGUUAAAACUAACGGGACAACUAUUCGCAUUAAACGGUCUACCUGAAUCCGCAGUAACAUCAACAUGUUGAAAUUGAAGCAACGUUGGAUGAAAGUGGCAUGCUGAAUUUGAUAUGUUCAAUGUCGAAAUUCACUUCAAUGACGGAAACAUGUUGAAUUAAUAUCAACAUAAAUAUUGGCGGAAAUCUGACGCCAUAGUUAUUUGUACUAAAUAAAUUGACACCAUUGCAAUAAUACGCAUGCGUAUAGCAUUGUUAAGAACUAAAAACUGAAGCAUGGCUCCGAGACGAGCAGACGCAUCAAUUAAUAAAUCAACAAUAUAGACGAAAUGGUCCAGUUUGGGAUAUUGUUAUAAAUGACAUCGCGCGAGAUGAACUGCAUGAUAAUAUAUUGUGUUAAUACAGCUCUUUCCGAUCUUGCUGUUACAGUCGUGCCAAUAAGAAGCGUUCCGAAAAAUAUUGACUAAAGCCCCGUUUACACGAGCAAAUUUUAUUUGACAAAUUUCAUAUGACAAAUGCAUUUGAUCGAAAGCUAGCAUGCUAGCUUUUGUUCAAAUGCAUUUGUCACAAUAAAUUUGUCACAAAUGCAUCAUCCACACGAGCAAAAUGUCUUUGACAUAUGAAAUUUGUCAAAUAAAAUUUGCUCAUGUAAAUGGGGCUUUAUUCAUUUCCUAACUUGAAUGAACACCUCGGAACAAUUGCUCAACAAUUUGAGAAGUUCCUUAAAAAGUUUCUAACUUCCUGUUUCAUUGACCAAUCAGAUUGCUCAAAAAUAAAAUAUAAAAUUUGAUUGGUAACUUUUUAAGGAACUUAUCAAAUUGUUGAGGAAUUGUUCAGAGGUGUUCAUUCAAGUUAGGAAAUGAAUUGGUUAACAUUUUUCGGAACGCUUCUAUUCUAGUUUCCACUCAGGAAAAUUAUUCGUGGAUUGGAACGGACAAGAAAAUUUUUCAUUGUAUUAAAGUCAUUAGUGCCAACCCAGAGCUCACAAGAUAAAGAAAAAUUUUAUUAUCCGUUCCAAUAUACGGAUAAUUUUCCUGAGUGGAAACUAACAUGUUAAAAGCAGGAAAAAAAGCAGCACAGCGGUGCAUGGCAAGUGAUGAGUAUUAAGCGUCUUUCUGUCAAUACUCAAUGACAUUGAUCGAAUUGAAGACAUUACUUAGCUGCAUAAAAUUGACGAGAGAUUCCUACUUCCAUUUGGUUAGCCAUCCAUAUACAGUGUGUCUAAAAAAAAGUGAACGUUUUCAAAUUCAAAUUACCUAUAACGUAUUGUAGUAAUUUGACAGAUCUAAUUACUUUGAAUUAAUGGUUGGUUAAGAACACAAGGUCUUGUACUCAUGGGACAAAACUCGUAAAAACUUUUAAAUUUUAUAAUUUUUAUUUCUGUGAGUUUUGUUUGAAUUUAUUUUCUAAACUCAAGUAUACGACAUGCAUAAAUUUAAAUUGAACUAUUUAAUUUAACAACACCUAUCAAUUGUGAGUUUUGAGUGCACUACCCACAAAACGUUAAGUUAUUUGAAAAGAUUGACCGAAUACUUGCAAUGCAUGCCUGUAUAAUUUGUUAGCUACUUCCUUAGUGUUGUUGCCGAUGCAUGUAGGGAAAAACGAAGUCUACCUGAAUAUUGUAGAGUAUAUAGAAACUAGUUUUGAAUCGGAAAUUAAUAUAUUUGGCGCAGAAUUGUUUACAAAGCUGAACUUAAUUAUACAAGUUAUAGGCAUGUUUCAAAGUUGGAACACGGGAAACGCGACGAUUGCACCAGUCCUGGUUUGCAAUAAGUUUUUCUGGAAUUUUCACAGGCUGUCACAUAGGCGUAUGCUGAAAUGCACAAGCGGAUCUCUUGCUAACUUGUUUAUAGAUUAUAAUUUGUUUUCCGCGCCGCUGUAAAAACAGUACUAAACAGCAAUGUAUGUGAUUUAUUGCUGUUAGUAUUGACUGCAUUAAUUCUGACCCUGGCACCGCUGCCAUCAACCGCUGCCAUCACGGUCAAUAUGGCUUGAUAUAUUUAAUAAUAUAAACAACGAACGAACGUUUACGAGUAUUAUAAAGAGUUUAUCUCAUAGCAAAUAGAAAAUGUCCAUCAUACGAAUGAGUACGACUCUGUAGUUCAGUUAAUGAGGCUAUUCGUUCGUUCUUGUGCUACGGUUAACUAAUAGCAAGGUUUCUCAUGAAAUUUGGAUAAAACAAGCACUCGUGAGCUUUUCAAAGACCUCAAAUAGCACUCGUCCUUCGGACUAAUGAUAUUUGAAAAAGAACUCGUGCAUGCAUAUUUUAUCCAAAUUCUAUAACUUAUCUAAUACUUAGUGUUUCCCUAUUGGUUACGAGGAGGUGCGUUCAAACUCGAACCCACCUGUGGUUCGAGAUAGAUGUUUUGGUGGCGGCCAUUAUGAAGCGAUUUGAACAAAUUUCCGACGAAGAUGUAAAUUAAAAAUAAAUUAAGUAUUUUUAAUUGUUUUAUAAUUAUUAUUUUUUUAUUUAGUUUGAUGAAAAUGGAAUAUUAAUUCUGUAUUAAAAGUGGAAGAGAAGAAAGUUGGCCGCAGAAAAUUGUUCGGUACGGGCAGGUUUGUAUAAAUCUUGGCAAUGUUUUCGCAAAAUGUGUGCAUUUUCUCUUUUCAAGAAUAAGGUAGCCUGUGUACAGCCGUUAGUCUCAACGAAGCGCGCGAGAGAACGUGUGUGAGUUGGAUGCAUUAUCCGUGUUCAGGUCACGUGGAUAGUUCCCAGAUUUGGGGACCGGCCUCUGAUUGGACAGUGCUUUAUUAGAAUAAUUUAUGACAAAUGAAGCUAUUUCAUUGGUUAAUUGAUAAUUAGCAUGAGUUUAAAAUAACAACACAAAAGUUUUAAAAUUCCAGAUCAAGAAUCAAGAUUUCAUUCGCGG